rnacentral:rRNA from 1 species
ACGGAGGGUGCAAGCGUUAUCCGGAAUUACUGGGUUUAAAGGGUGCGUAGGCGGAUUGAUAAGUCAGAAGUGAAAGCUCUCGGCUCAACUGAGGAAUUGCUUUUGAAACUGUCAAUCUUGAAUGGAGCUGAGGUUAGCGGAAUGAGUCAUGUAGCGGUGAAAUGCAUAGAUAUGACUUAGAACACCAAUUGCGAAGGCAGCUAACUAGACUUCUAUUGACGCUGAGGCACGAAAGCGUGGGGAGCGAACAGG